UACGGAGGGUGCAAGCGUUAAUCGGAAUUACUGGGCGUAAAGCGUGCGUAGGCGGUUCGUUAAGUCUGCUGUGAAAGCCCCGGGCUCAACCUGGGAAUGACAGCGGAUACUGGCGAGCUAGAGUGUGAUAGAGGAUGGUGGAAUUCCCGGUGUAGCGGUGAAAUGCGUAGAGAUCGGGAGGAACAUCAGUGGCGAAGGCGGCCAUCUGGAUCAACACUGACGCUGAGGCACGAAAGCGUGGGGAGCAAACAGG
rnacentral:rRNA from 1 species